UACGUAGGGUGCAAGCGUUAAUCGGAAUUACUGGGCGUAAAGCGUGCGCAGGCGGUUAUGCAAGACAGAGGUGAAAUCCCCGGGCUCAACCUGGGAACUGCCUUUGUGACUGCAUAGCUAGAGUACGGUAGAGGGGGAUGGAAUUCCGCGUGUAGCAGUGAAAUGCGUAGAGAUCGGCAGGAAGACCCACGGGGAAGCCAGGGGACUGGGAACGUGCUGACGCUCAGGUGCGAGAGCGUGGGGAGCGAACCGG
rnacentral:rRNA from 1 species